rnacentral:rRNA from 1 species
UGCAUCGAUGAAGAACGCAGCGAAAUGCGAUACCUAGUGUGAAUUGCAGAAUUCCGCGAAUCAUCGAGUCUUUGAACGCAAGUUGCGCCCGAGGCUUGUCCAAGGGCAUUUCCGCUAGAGCGUCACCGCGCCCCCCACCGAUCCCCGCUCCCGCUGGCGGCGGAUCGAGUGGAAGUGGCCGUCCCCGGUCUUGGCCUUCGCCAAGUGGAGGGUCGGCUGAAAUGGAGGGAAUGGGACCGCCGUGGUGACACAGUCCGCAAUCGGGUGAUUUUUCGUGAAUUUUUCUAAGUGCGUGGCUGCGUCCCCCAGUUGGUUCCCUCGUCGUGCAUGGUUACCUCAUGAAUGAAUGAAUGAAUGCAGGUUUUGUCCCGCAUCAGACCUCUAAUCGGAAAAGACUACCCGCUGAGUUUAAGCAUAUCAAUAAGCGGAGGACC